rnacentral:tRNA from 1 species
GGGGGUGUAGCUCAGUGGUAAAGUGCAUGCAUAACUGUGAGGCCCUGGGUUCAAUCCCUAGUACUGCCA